rnacentral:rRNA from 1 species
UACGUAGGGGGCUAGCGUUGUCCGGAAUCAUUGGGCGUAAAGAGCGUGUAGGCGGUCCGGUAAGUCCGCUGUGAAAGUCGGGGGCUCAACCCUCGAAUGCCGGUGGAUACUGUCGGGCUAGAGUGCGGAAGAGGCGAGUGGAAUUCCUGGUGUAGCGGUGAAAUGCGCAGAUAUCAGGAGGAACACCUAUUGCGAAGGCAGCUCGCUGGGACGUAACUGACGCUGAGACGUGAAAGCGUGGGGAGCAAACAGG